AACGAACGCUGGCGGCAUGCCUAACACAUGCAAGUCGAACGAGACCUUCGGGUCUAGUGGCGCACGGGUGCGUAACGCGUGGGAACCUGCCCUUAGGUUCGGAAUAACUCCCCGAAAGGGGUGCUAAUACCGGAUAAUGUCUUCGGACCAAAGAUUUAUCGCCUUUGGAUGGGCCCGCGUUGGAUUAGCUAGUUGGUAGGGUAAAAGCCUACCACGGCGACGAUCCAUAGCUGGUCUGAGAGGAUGAUCAGCCACACUGGGACUGGGACACGGCCCAGAAUCUUACGGGAGGCAGCAGUGGGGAAUAUUGGACAAUGGGCGAAAGCCUGAUCCAGCAAUGCCGCGUGAGUGAUGAAGGCCUUAGGGUUGUAAAGCUCUUUUACCCGGGAUGAUAAUGACAGUACCGGGAGAAUAAGCUCCGGCUAACUCCGUG
rnacentral:rRNA from 1 species